rnacentral:rRNA from 1 species
UACGUAGGGGGCAAGCGUUGUCCGGAAUCAUUGGGCGUAAAGAGCGCGUAGGCGGCCCUGUAAGUCCGCUGUGAAAGUCAAGGGCUCAACCCUCGGAUGCCGGUGGAUACUGUCGGGCUUGAGUACGGAAGAGGCGAGUGGAAUUCCUGGUGUAGCGGUGAAAUGCGCAGAUAUCAGGAGGAACACCAAUUGCGAAGGCAGCUCGCUGGGACGUUACUGACGCUGAGACGCGAAAGCGUGGGGAGCAAACAGG